AGAAUCCUGCAAGUGAGCACAACAACAAUGCUCGAAAAUAUGCGAGCAAAUAGUGCUCGCUAAUAUAGUAUCAGUCGUAUUCUUCCAUUUAGCGAGAGAGAGAGUGUGCUAUUGCUCAGAAUUUGGCAGCACAUUUACAGGUGCUCGUAAAAUACAGGGCUCGAAACUUGCCAGCACCAUUUGCUCGAAAGAACCGUUGAGCCGCGAAAAAAUCAGUCUGGCGGUGCCUAAUUCUGAUUAAUAUUCUCCUCAUUUUGAACCGAUAAAUACUUCUCAAUAUUAACCUAACCGCCUAUAUCAAUUCUCACCUUCUCUCCCUUGAUCCGCCAGCGAUCUCCCCUCUGUCGUUAUCUCAAAUUGAGGAACAACAGAUUUCAGUGAAUAUAUCCCCUGCUUCCACCGCCAUGACGGAAAACCCCAGCGCUAACGUCUUGAUGUACUACCAGAUGCGCGCGCCGCAUCACGGCGUCGUGGAUGGGUAAGAGGUUCUCGGUGGUGGAUGAGUGUAACAAUUGGCAGAAACAACCGGAUUUGGCGGCGAUUAGGGCUUUAGCUUCGGCGAUUCGGUCCGGCCAAGCGAAGAAGAUGAUAGAGCUUGAAAUUGGACUAAAAAAAAGCAUCCGAUUCUCUUUAAAUCAUGGGACACUACUUCAACCUCGUUAACGGCUGGUUUUGACCUUUUCAUGCGUCAUGUGACUAGAACUUCAGCUUUGGAUCAUGAAGACUUUGGUUCAGCCAAGUCCUGACUACUUGAGCGUGCUAAGAAGUUUGGCGAGAUAUCAUAUAAGGUGUCAUUUGCGUUUUCAGCAUCAUCUUGAAUUGAAAGAUUUAAUGAACCUUUCUCAUGACAUGCGCGGAGGAUAAUAGCUAUGCUUAGUCAAGAUUUUAUAUUUGAUGGCUGCGCCAUUUCUGUCCAUGGCUUCUCCAGGGUUGUGCUCGAAGCUUUGAGAAGAGCAGUUGAGAAUAAAAAAGUGUUUCGAGUUCCCUGCACAGGCUAGGAGAGAGAAGACUAGUUAGUGAAUGAGAAUACUACAUGACAAUAGCUUGCAUACAAGAGCCGUUUUUCAUACUGCAGUUGGCUAUGUAGUAAGAAAUGGCAAAAGUGCGUGCACAGGCGAACAAGCAAGCGGAGGCGUUGCUAGAGUAGGUGAAGAGUAUAAUGUACAAUUUCAACAAAGAACAAUAUAGUUUAUGUAUUUAUUAUGAAUUUAAAUAAAGUGUAAAACAAUAAUUUUAUUUAAUACAAUGUCAUUUUGAA